rnacentral:rRNA from 2 species
CUACCUUGAGCUACGGGAUAACAGAGAGAAAUUUCUGCUAAUACCGUAUGUGGCCUUUGGGCGAAAGAUUUAUCGGCUUAAGAUGAGCCCGCGUUGGAUUAGCUGGUUGGUGGGGUAAAGGCCUACCAAGGCGACGAUCCAUAGCUGGUCUGAGAGGAUGAUCAGCCACACUGGGACUGAGAUACGGUCCAGACUCCUACGGGAGGCAGCAGUGGGGAAUAUUGGACAAUGGGCGAAAGCCUGAUCCAGCCAUGCCGCAUGAGUGAAGAAGGCCUUCGGGUUGUAAAGCUCUUUUAGUGAGGAAGAUAAUGACGGUACUCACAGAAGAAGUCCUGGCUAACUCCGUGCCAGCAGCCGCGGUAAUACGGAGAGGGCUAGCGUUAUUCGGAAUCAUUGGGCGUAAAGGGCGCGUAGGCGGGUUAGUAAGUUAAAAGUGAAAUCCCAAGGCUCAACCUUGGAACUGCUUUUAAAACUGCUAGUCUAGAGAUUGAAAGAGGAUAGAGGAAUUCCUAGUGUAGAGAUGAAAUUCGUAAAUAUUAGGAGGUACACCAGUGGCGAANGCGUCUAUCUGGUUCAAAUCUGACGCUGAGGCGCGAANGCGUGGGGAGCANCAGGAUUAGAUACCCUGG